GAUGAACGCUAGCGGCAGGCUUAACACAUGCAAGUCGAGGGUAACAUUGUAGCUUGCUACAGAUGACGACCGGCGCACGGGUGCGUAACGCGUAUAGAACCUACCUUUUACAGAGGGAUAGCCUUUAGAAAUGAAGAUUAAUACCUUAUAGUAUUGCGACUCGGCAUCGGGUUGUAAUUAAAGAUUUAUCGGUAAAAGAUGGCUAUGCGUCCUAUUAGUUAGAUGGUAAGGUAACGGCUUACCAUGACUAUGAUAGGUAGGGGUCCUGAGAGGGAGAUCCCCCACACUGGUACUGAGACACGGACCAG
rnacentral:rRNA from 1 species